AGUCAAGUUAUUAAGGGCACAUGACGGAUGCCUUGGCAUCAGGAGUCGAUGAAGGACGUGAUAAGCUGCGAUAAGCCUCGGGUAACUGCAAAUGAGUAUCGAUCCGGGGAUUUCCGAAUUGGGGAACCCACCUCGUUUAAUAGCGAGGGAUCCGUAUCUGAAUACAUAGGGUACGGAAGACAACCAGGGGAACUGAAACAUCUAAGUACCCUGAGGAAAAGAAAGAAAUUUCGAUUCCCAUAGUAGCGGCGAGCGAACUGGGAAGAGCCUAAACUCGUUGGGCGUGAUAACCUGUAGGUGUUUCCUGACGAGGGUUGUAGGAGUCAUCUGGCUUUGCUACAGAAGAGCCGGAGAGUUACAAAAUUGGUUUUUAGUUGAAAAACUUGGAACAGUUUGCCACAGAGGGUGAAAGUCCCGUAAGCGAAAAAAACCAAUCUCUCGAUGAUUUCCUGAGUACGGCGGGACACGAGAAAUCUUGUCGGAAUCUACGAAGACCACUUCGUAAGGCUAAAUACUCCCUGAUGACCGAUAGUGAACUAGUACCGUGAGGGAAAGGUGAAAAGAACCCCGGGAGGGGAGUGAAAUAGUACCUGAAAUCAUGUGCUUACAAGCAGUUCGAGCCCGCCAUUGGCGGGUGAGAGCGUGCCUUUUGUAGAAUGAGCCGGCGAGUUACUGGUAUCUAGCAAGGUUAAGCUGUAUGGCGGAGCCGUAGCGAAAGCAAGUCUGAAUAGGGCGUUUAGUUAGAUGCCGUAGACCCGAAACCGAGUGAUCUAUCCAUGGCCAGGGUGAAGCUCCGGUAAAACGGAGUGGAGGCCCGAACCCACCAGCGUUGAAAAGCUGGGGGAUGAGUUGUGGAUCGGAGUGAAAGGCUAAUCAAACUCGGUAAUAUCUGGUUCUCCUCGAAAUAGCUUUAGGGCUAGCCUCAAGUGUUUAAUUUUGGGGGUAGAGCACUGAUUGGACUAGGGGCCCUCACCGGUUACCAAACCCAGUCAAACUCCGAAUACCAAAAUUUUAGAGCUUGGGAGUCAGACUAUGGGGGCUAAGCUUCAUAGUCGAAAGGGAAACAGCCCAGACCGCCAGCUAAGGUCCCUAAGUAUGAACUAAGUGGGAAAGGAUGUUGAAGCGCAAAAACAGCCAGGAUGUUGGCUUAGAAGCAGCAAUCAUUUAAAGAGUGCGUAAUAGCUCACUGGUUAAGCGAAUCAGCGCCGACAAUUAUCGGGGCUCAAGUUCAUCACCGAAGCUGCGGACUUACUUUUAGUGAGUGGUAGAGGAGCAUUCCCUAUUGGACGAAGUCGAUUCGUAAGGAUCGGUGGACGAUAGGGAAGAGAGAAUGCCGGCAUAAGUAGCGAGAGACGGGUGCGAAACCCGUCCGCCGUAAACCCAAGGUUUCCUGGGGAAGGUUAAUCCGCCCAGGGUUAGUCGGGACCUAAGCCGAGGCCGAAAGGCGUAGGCGAUGGAUAGCUGGUAGAUAUUCCAGCACCACCGAGUUGCGACAAAGACACGAUGGGGUGACACAGUAGGGUAGGCCAUGCGCGGCGUUGGUUGUCCGCGUUCAAGCACGUAGGGGGCCGGGAUAGGCAAAUCCGUUCUGGCAUUAAACCCUGAGGUGUGAUGACGAGCCGAUUGAGGCGAAGUGGCUAAUCCCACACUGUCAAGAAAAACCUCUAGUGAGCAACUAGGUGCCCGUACCCCAAACCGACACAGGUGGGUGGGGUGAGAAUCCCAAGGCGAUCGAGUAAUUCCUCGUUAAGGAACUCGGCAAAAUUACCCCGUAACUUCGGGAGAAGGGGUCCCUCAUUAGCGUGAUUACCUUACGGUAUAAGCGUGAAGAGGGUGCAAUAAAAAGGCCCAAGCGACUGUUUACUAAAAACACAGGUCUCUGCUAAGUCGUAAGACGAUGUAUAGGGGCUGACGCCUGCCCGGUGCCGGAAGGUUACGAGGAGAUGUUAGCGAGCCGUUAAAGCAAGCGAAGCAUUGAAUCUAAGCCCCGGUAAACGGCGGCCGUAACUAUAACGGUCCUAAGGUAGCGAAAUUCCUUGUCGGGUAAGUUCCGACCUGCACGAAUGGCGUAACGACUUGGGCGCUGUCUCAACGAGGAGCUCGGCGAAAUUGUAUUACUCGUAAAGAUGCGAGUUACCCGCAACAGGACGGAAAGACCCCGUGAACCUUUACUGUAGCUUGACAUUGGAUUUUGAUACAUUCUGUGCAGGAUAGGUGGGAGGCUGUGAAACCUCGACGUUAGUCGAGGUGGAGCCAACCUUGAGAUACCACCCUGGAUAUAUCGAAAUUCUAACUUCGUUCAGUUAUCCUGGUGAAGAACAGUGUCAGGUGGGCAGUUUGACUGGGGCGGUCGCCUCCUAAAGCGUAACGGAGGCGCCCAAAGGUUUCCUCAGCACGGAUGGCAAUCGUGCGUAGAGUGUAAGGGCAGAAGGAAGCUUAACUGCGAGACCUACAAGUCGAGCAGAGACGAAAGUCGGCGCUAGUGAUCCGGCGGCUCAGAGUGGAAUGGCCGUCGCUCAACGGAUAAAAGGUACUCCGGGGAUAACAGGCUUAUCCUGCCCAAGAGUCCAUAUCGACGGCAGGGUUUGGCACCUCGAUGUCGGCUCAUCGCAUCCUGGGGCUGGAGAAGGUCCCAAGGGUUUGGCUGUUCGCCAAUUAAAGCGGUACGCGAGCUGGGUUUAGAACGUCGUGAGACAGUUCGGUCCCUAUCCGUUGCGGGCGCAGGAAACUUGAAGGGAGUUGUUUCUAGUACGAGAGGACCGAAAUGAACGAACCUCUAGUGUACCAGUUGUCGUGCCAACGGCAUCGCUGGGUAGCUAUGUUCGGAAGGGAUAACCGCUGAAAGCAUCUAAGUGGGAAGCCCACCCUAAGAUUAAGUUUCCCAUCCAAAAUGGAGUAAGAUCCCAGGUAGACUACCUGGUUGAUAGGUCAUAAGUGUAAGCCCGGUAACGGGUGUAGCUGAGUGAUACUAAUAGAUCGAGGACUUGAUUUU
rnacentral:rRNA from 1 species